GGACUACUGGGGUAUCUAAUCCGGUUCGCUCCCCACGCUUUCGCGCCUCAGCGUCAGGCACAGCCCAGUCGGCCGCCUUCGCCACUGGUGUUCCUCCCGAUCUCUACGCAUUUCACCACUCCACCGGGAAUUCCACCGACCUCUGCUGCCCUCAAGCCUGCCAGUCUCCCCGGCACUGUCCCGGUUGAGCCGGAACCUUUCACCCAGAACUUAACAGGCCGCCUACGCGCGCUUUACGCCCAGUAAAUCCGGACAACGCUCGCCACCUACGUAUUACCGCGGCUGCUGGCAC
rnacentral:rRNA from 1 species